AGGUCGGUGAUGAUAUGAACACUGCAUAAUAUGAGUUUUGGAAACCAGAUGAUGGAAUGUGAGCUAAGAACGGACUGAGACCA
ensembl:snoRNA